GACGUAGGGCGCGAGCGUUGUCCGGAUUUAUUGGGCGUAAAGAGCUCGUAGGCGGCUUGUCGCGUCGUCCGUGAAAACCCACAGCUCAACUGUGGGCUUGCGGUCGAUACGGGCAGGCUAGAGUUCGGUAGGGGAGACUGGAAUUCCUGGUGUAGCGGUGAAAUGCGCAGAUAUCAGGAGGAACACCGGUGGGCGAAGGCGGGUCUCUGGGCC
rnacentral:rRNA from 1 species